AGAAACCUCCGACUGAAGGCCCACACCUGUAAUGUACCUGUGAAGGAUGUCCUGUCCUUCCUCAAGUGGAGCAAGAUCACCUGAAGAGAGCACCCCAAGGAUUGAAGCAUGAGCACUGAUGGGAGACCAUCCUCUAGAGAAUCAGUCUAGUGGGUCAGCUAUGACCGUCGACUAACGUCCUUUAUAUAGUGUGAACAAUUUGUCUGUCCGGCUUGUGUUCAAUGUCACAACAGCCUACAUCAGAAACAUAAUAUUUGGAGCAGCUACGUAAUACUGAACGGAAAUUUUGUCUUUCCUCAGCUUAACCCAAACCAGUUUGAAGAAAUACCUCAACGCGGGAUGUUGAUUCUAAUUUUACAUAGAGAAAUCUGUAGCUCGAGUGAGGCUUUGAGGAUGUGAUUGAUUCCCUCGGCUAUUUUUCUGUUAACUGUGAAUUAUUUGAACUGAUGUGACAGUGAGUGUUUAGACUGCAUGGACAGUGAGUUUCAUAUUAAACUGAAUUCUAUUGAUAAAAUGUGACACUUGUGAUUUCCCAACUAAAAGUUGCAAAUAUUUCAGUGAUAAUGGGAAUUUAUUCUGUGUUUGAUUUCAACAAACUGGAAUAUUUCAACCUUGAGAAAGCCAUGGGAAAAAAAGGCUAUUAUAUCUUGAAUUUUUUUUUCAGAACUACUAAGUAGUUUGGAGUGAAAUAUUACCAGCAAUGUAAACAAUUCAAGUUUUAAAGAUUUUAUCUUUGUGUAAGCUAAAGCUUUAAAUUUCGUUUUAUGGGACUCAGCUUUGUAGCUUUAAGUGUCAUUCUUUUUCAGUUCUUCAUAGCUCAUUGUAGAUGGUUUUACUUGUAUCUUUGUUAGUUGAGUUGUAAAUAUUUGUGGUAAAUAUUUAAUUUAAAAAUGUGUACUAUUUCAUAAAGGUACAUCUGGAUAUUAAGAGAAGAAUUCUUUGUUAUGUAAUGUUAAAACAUCAGACAAAGACGAGCUAGAACGAUUAGUUUCAGAGGAACUUGAUAGUUUUUAAUGGAAGAAAGCAACAAAGCCUUUUCACUACUUAUGUCUGCUACAAGAAGAGUUUCAAAUGUAGAGUUAAUGAUUUGGUUUGUUACAAAUCUUGCUGAAUUCAUCUCUACCUAAGUGUUUUGUGUUUAAUAGCAGCUUGGAUCAGUUGUUAAGAGUUUGUAAAGAUCUUUCAUCAUACAGUGAAUACAUAUAGCUUUAUCAUGUGAAGGGUGAUAGGUCAGUGAAGUCAGCAGCCUCUAUUCUCAUUACAGACAUUGUAUUGUUGCAGUAUAAAUUGUGUUGUUUUCAUCAUUGACUGGUUUUGUGAAUUGAUUAGUAGACAAAUGGUUUUCAUAGUUGGAUUGAUGAUACCCACUUGCUAUUAACGGUUUUAUUGUACUUCAUUGCAUUUUUAAUAGUUUUGACUUUGUGUGUAGUGUUUCUUUGUUUCUACAUAGCACCCUCAUUUAUUUCAAACAGUCCUGGAAACUUGGUUUGAGAUUUCUGUCUGCCAUUUGUAAAUUUUAGAUGAAGGAUUUUUUCAUGAAAUUUAUAAUGGAGGGUCCCUCAUCCCUUGCUGUGUCUGGUGUUUUUAUUGUUAAUGAUAGCUCUUGGUUUCACCUUCCAGUUCCAUGUAUUGCACCUCUCCACCAUCUCCAUGUUAUACCAAGCCUUCAUGGAGGAACUUUAUAUAUUAUUGCACCGGAUUGUUCCUUGAAUUACCUCAUGAAACGGUUACUUGUACAAUUUUUGUUUUUUAACAAAUGAAUAUUUUUUUAAAACUUCAUUGUAUUUUAAUGUCUGGAGACAACAUCAAACCUUUGGAACAUACUUGAUUGCAAUGCUAUUCAGCAAUCUGUGUCUAAAUUCUAUGAAAUUUUUAAAAAAUACUUUGAAUAUAAAGUUUAAGACCAAUAGAAUUGCUUUCUGUACAGAACGUGUAUGAACGAACACAGCAGUCAGUAAUAUCCUGACACUGGUUUUUCACUGAAGUGCUACUGAUCUAUAUUAUCAUUGUUUUUCGGUUUUCAUUAGUUUUUUUGUCAUUUAGCACAUAUCAUAUUGAUCUUAGAAAUGAUAUAAUCAUAAUGAAUAAAUCAAAUGAAUUAU
rnacentral:misc_RNA from 1 species